rnacentral:rRNA from 1 species
GACGUAGGGCGCGAGCGUUGUCCGGAUUUAUUGGGCGUAAAGAGCUCGUAGGCGGCUUGUCGCGUCGUCCGUGAAAACCCACAGCUCAACUGUGGGCUUGCGGUCGAUACGGGCAGGCUAGAGUUCGGUAGGGGAGACUGGAAUUCCUGGUGUAGCGGUGAAAUGCGCAGAUAUCAGGAGGAACACCGGUGGCGAAGGCGGCCAUCUGGACCGCAACUGACGCUGAGGCGCGAAAGCGUGGGGAGCAAACAGG